UACAGAGGUCCCAAGCGUUGUUCGGAUUCACUGGGCGUAAAGGGUGCGUAGGCGGUCGGGUAAAUCUGACGUGAAAUCUUCAAGCUCAACUUGGAAACUGCGUCGGAUACUAUUCGGCUAGAGGAAUGGAGGGGAGACUGGAAUACUUGGUGUAGCAGUGAAAUGCGUAGAUAUCAAGUGGAACACCAGUGGCGAAGGCGAGUCUCUGGACAUUUCCUGACGCUGAGGCACGAAAGCCAGGGGAGCAAACGGG
rnacentral:rRNA from 1 species